UCCCUGGAGGAGUAGUGGUUAGGCCACAGUGCUCUCGUAGCUUCGGCCUGGGUUUGAUUCCCAGCCAGGAAA
rnacentral:tRNA from 1 species